GAUGAACGCUGGCGGCGUGCCUAAUACAUGCAAGUCGAGCGGACAGACGCUGCGCUUGCUCCUUUGACGUUUGCGGCGGACGGGUGUGUAACACGUGGAUAACCUACCUAUAAUACUGGGAUAACUUCGGGAAACGGGAGCUAAUACCGGAUAAUAUAUUGAACCGCAUGGUGCAAUGGUGAAAGACGGCUUUGGUGGCACUAAUAGAUGGAUCCGCGCGGGAUGGGUGAGUUGGUAAGGUAACGGCUUACGAAGGCAACGAUGCGUACCCGACCUGAGAGGGGGAUCGGCCACAGUGGACGUGAGCGACGGUCCAGACUCCGAGGGGCGGCAGCAGUAGGGACGCUUCCGCAAUGGGCGAAAGACUGACGAGCAAGGCCGCGUGAGUGAUGAAGGUCUUCGGAUCGUAAAACUCUGUUAUUAGGGAAGAACAAAUGUGUAAGUAAAUAUGCACGUCUUGACGGUAACUAGUCAGAAAGCAACGGCUAACUACGUG
rnacentral:rRNA from 1 species